rnacentral:rRNA from 1 species
AUUGAACGCUGGCGGCAUGCCUUACACAUGCAAGUCGAACGGUAACAGGUCUUCGGACGCUGACGAGUGGCGAACGGGUGAGUAAUGCAUCGGAACGUGCCCAGUCGUGGGGGAUAACUGCUCGAAAGAGCAGCUAAUACCGCAUACGACCUGAGGGUGAAAGCGGGGGACCGUAAGGCCUCGCGCGAUUGGAGCGGCCGAUGUCAGAUUAGCUAGUUGGUGGGGUAAAGGCCUACCAAGGCAACGAUCUGUAGUUGGUCUGAGAGGACGACCAGCCACACUGGGACUGAGACACGGGCCAGACUCCUACGGGAGGCAGCAGUGGGGAAUUUUGGACAAUGGGCGCAAGCCUGAUCCAGCAAUGCCGCGUGCAGGAAGAAGGCCUUCGGGUUGUAAACUGCUUUUGUCAGGGAAGAAAUCCUCUGGGUUAAUACCCCGGGGGGAUGACGGUACCUGAAGAAUAAGCACCGGCUCACUACGUGCCAGCCGCCGCCGUAAGAC